rnacentral:rRNA from 1 species
CAGCAGCCGCGGGAAAACGAAGGGUGCAAGCGUUAAUCGGAAUUACUGGGCGUAAAGCGUGCGUAGGCGGUUUGUUAAGACAGAUGUGAAAUCCCCGGGCUCAACCUGGGAACUGCAUUUGUGACUGGCAAGCUAGAGUGUGGCAGAGGGGGGUGGAAUUCCGCGUGUAGCAGUGAAAUGCGUAGAUAUGCGGAGGAACACCGAUGGCGAAGGCAGCCCCCUGGGCCAACACUGACGCUCAUGCACGAAAGCGUGGGGAGCAAACAGGAUUAGAUACCCCGGUAGUCCCUGUCUCUUAUAC